UACAAGUAAGAUAAAUUAUAUGAGAUCUUUAAUUUAUAUAUAAGAUAAUUUUAUUCUGUUCUAAUAUCUGUGUAAUGUUAGUUUAAAAUAUUAUUUUUUAUUAUAUUGAUUUUAUAUAUUAGGUAGGUGCCCAUUCUGUUCCUAUCUUCAGAAGUUAUUUAUACCUAUGCAAUACCUUUGCUCAGGUUAAAGAAUGGAAUACUAGUCUUGCAUCAAAUAUAUUUUACAUAUUCAUUCGAUGUUUAUCACCAGAAGUUAGUUCUACCUUUGCAGUACCUCUGCUCUACAUACCUCCUCGCUGGUUAAAGAAUGGAAUAUAAAUCUCAUAUCAAGUUGGUGUAAAAAUUUAGUUCAAUAAAUUAAGAAUUUGUAAA